CAGUUACUCACGGAAGCGCUGGGACGGGUGGUGAGGGGCCCGGGCAGGUGGCGCGCCUUACAGCGGACGGUGUUCGUGCUGCUUUCCGUGCCGUGGUUUCUGAAAGAUACAGACCAGAAGAGGAGUUUGGGGCUUGACACCUGACAUCUUAACACCAGUUCCUGUUUCUUGAGGAAGGAAGAGGUAAAAUAAAUCAGCGUUUUCUGUGUCCUUCUCCAUCCCCGGAAGUCCUCAUGAAGACCCUCUCAGCUUCAACUUGAACGUGAAUAUGAGCAGCUGAUCAUCUGUUCUGCAGUCAGCCCCUGGCCAGAUUCUGACUCAUGAUAUUGACCUUCUCCAUCAUCACCUUCCACAAAUUUGAUUCCUGUCUAUUCUGCCUGGAAUGGUGCACGAGUAUAGUCACCGUUUAUGCUCCUGAUGAAAGGCGGGACGCCCCUCCUGUGCUGUCCUCAGAAGGGCUCUUCAGGGACCACACCCCUAGUUUGCGGAGCAGCAGAGCCUGCCCCAGUCUGGACUAGGGACUUUAUUUCUUCCACUCUCACCACUGGCUGAAGGCAGACUCCUGUCUCCACAGACUAAAGAGGAAUUAUCAAAAUGAGCUCGAAACUCUAGAUUUGAGUUAAGGAUCAUAAAUUAACACAGAGAAAUACAACUUUAACAACAAAGACCUGUUUGGAGCCCCAGUUGGAAUUAAAAAAAAAAAAACUUGAACAGAGGGAGUGAUAAAGGCUUCCUUCUUUUGCCAUCCUCUCUCGGUGGUCCCAAGCUUUCUCAUCUCCCACCUCACAAGACUGUAUCAACUGCUUUGAGACUUUUAGAAUAAAGAUCCCCAGGCAUAUCACUGCUGUUACCCUGUGAGGAUUUCCCCAGUGCUGGGUUAGACUAAGACAGAAUCCUCCAGAGGCUUCCGGGGUCUGUGUACUGGAUGGUCAACACACAGAGCCUCAGAGCCCACUUCAUUUUUCCUGCAGUUGGGCAUGACCCCAGGGACAUGACCCUGAGAGUGCUGACACUUCCUGAAGCCAGUGACCCUCCCCCUGGGCUUCUCUCUGCCUGGGUCUCAGAAUCUCUGAGGCCAACUUGUACCCUCGGAAGUGUUUCUGCUGAAGGACACGUAAACAGCACUGUGGGUUUGUGUCCUGCAGUCUGCAAAACUGCCUCCCCUGAGUGGGGUGAGGAGCUACUGGAAUACUGAAACAUUGAAAUCAUUAAAACUAGCAGAAGCCACAGCCCAUGGUGCUGGGAGAAAACUGGGAAGGACGGAGAGGUGAAGAGGCUAUAAAGGCCCAGGUGUGAAGGCGACCAUGGGCCAGGAUGUCCUGAAGUCGCAAAGCUGACCAAUGCUGAGUGCCCUAAAAGCUGCCACUCCUGUGCCCAUCUUUUCUUUCAAUGGACAAAGUCUUUCCCUGCUCUUAUGUGCCUGGGCUGGAAGGGCCUUUGACUUAGAACAUGAAGCAGCCUCCAGAGCCUCUUGGGGCAAGUGAUGGUCAAGGAGGCUCUGCCUAACCCCACCCUGCUCUUCCCACUUGUCAGAGGACCAGGAAUUUCAGUCUUCCAACUCCUGGGCUGAUCUAGUGACUCAUAACAGGAUUUCACUGGAACUGGAAGGUGUUGAAGACAGGAAGUACUCCUGGGUUUCUUCACCCAGCUGAAUGCCUAGUUCCUGGUCUUAUUACACGGCUUACAUUCAGGAUAAGAAGAGGCGUUUGGAGCUUUACGCAUGACCUCUUAGCAGCGGUUUCUGUUCAGGAGUGAAGAGGUAAAAAGAAAGCAGUGUCUACUAAGUCCUUUUCCAAGAGUCUCAGGAAAUUCUCACGAAGACCCUCUCAGAUGCAGGACGAUGAGGAGGGAAUGUUUGUUGUGUCAUAAUCUGUGGAAGGAUGCAAAGUGCACAUGGGGUUCGUUACUCCUGAUGCUCACACUAUUGCAGCCCACCUACUGGGAAAUUACCGUAAGUGUUGCUGAGUCCCUCACACAUCCACACUGAACAGCUUUCGGAUUCUCAUAAGCAGGAGUUAUUUGUGUCCUAAGAUGAGCCACUCCUUGGAAGCCCUACCCUGUCCUAUAGGGUCGCUGUGAGUCGGAAUCAACUGCAUGGCAAGAGUGUUUUUUUUGGAGAGGGGUUGAUAUUAGCUGCAGAAUAAUGUUUAAAAAAAUGCUGACAGAGUAGCAGGUGAAACCAACACAAUGAAACUGAAAUGAAAUCUCUUUUUCACACUUAUCGACCCCACAGUGCCUUCGAAGUGUGUACUUUUCACUGGGUUUAGAGGAAAGAGAGAACUCUUCACGAGAGAGACACAGCUUGGGACACCUCCAAAAUCACACGCCUCCUCCCUGAUGUUAGCUGGCUGCAUGUGACCACCAGGCUUCCUGACUCCAUCAUUCUGCUUUCCAUACCAAUGUUAUUGUAACCUUGGGAUCUUGGGCAGUGGUGAAAGUUACACACUGUCCCUGCCAUUAGGAAGGGGACAAGCCAGUGCGGGUGGGAGGGGCAGUGGGGAAAUUCGGCCUAGAGAAAGGACAGGCCACCUUCCAGGAACCACACUGGCCUUCAGAGAGCUUUGUUGGCUGUGGUUCACCUGGCCAGCUUGUAGGCGUCAGGGUGCCCUAGGGCUCGGUGCUUAGUUCUCUCUAUUGACACCCUCUGUCUAGGAUGACUCAGUGAGUCCACUGCUGUCUAUCUGUAGCUAAAGAUGCCAGCUUUGUAGCUCUAGUCAAAUUCCUCCUGGGUGCAGACUCGUAUAUUCAAAUGUCAGCCUAACUCUCUGUAUCGACCUCUUUUGUAAAAUGGGCAUUAUAAUGGCACAUUCCUCAUAGGACUAUCAUGCAGAGCAAAACUCUUAAGGAGAAGCUUUUACAAGAGCCCCUGACACCAGUGCAUGUGCUCAGUAAGUGUUAGCUGUUAGUAUUAUUACCUGACAUCUCCACGUGGACGUCUGACAGCUAUGCCAUGUUAUCAAGGCCAUGAAGCAAGUCUUGGUCCCAAACCCAUUCCACCCGUAUCAAUUUCUCAAGGCUACAGUGAUGGGAGUCUGUGUGUUUUUCCACAUAAUGGACAUGGUUAAAAAGGUUGACCAGGUCCUUCAUAAUAAGUUGCUCCAAAGUUCAUAUGGGUGACCAUUGAUACAAGUUACAGUCAACUAAUAUAGAAAAAAAAACAGAACCACUCUCAGCAGCUCAUGCUUGGACUCUCAGUCCAGAAUGUCUGGUGAGGGCACUAUUAUGGACUGAAUUGUAUAACCCCAAAAGGUAUGUUGAAAUCCUAACCACUGUACCUGUAAAUGUGACCUAAUUUAGAAAUAGGGGAUUUUUAAAAUUAUGUUAAUAAGGCCAUACCAGUGUAGGGUGGGUCCUAGACCUAGUCCCUUCUGAGUUAUAAAAACAGCAGAAUAGACACAGACAGGAGCAGAUGCAUCUACAAGGCCAGGAACACAAAGGGUGGCUGGAAGCUGCUAGAAGCUGAAGUAGACAUGAGCCGUGCCCUGAAUUCAGACUUCGAGCCUCUCCUGAACUGUAAGAAAAUAAAUUUCUGUUCUUUAAAGCCACUCAGUUGUGUUAUUUUUUUCUUAUGGCGGCACUAGGUAACUAACACACAUAUCUGUGCUUAUAAAUCCAGCCUAGGGUAAAAUAGUGCUCUCCCCUCCUUGUCUAGCCCACCUGGAUCCUGCUGUUUCCCUAUCAGUGUCCUCUGCUUUCACUAAGCUACAAAAGAGCCGGCUUGAUGCUGAGGCAUAGAAAUUCACUUUAUUUUUUACUUUGUAUUUAUGAUUAACUAGUAUUAAUUCUAAUGUUUUCUAUGGCUUUUAAAAAUUUCCUGUGAAGACAUUCGUAUAAUCUAUGAAUAAUAACAGUUAUACUUUUUCUUGUCAUUUCGUUCUAGCUUCGACCUCCAUUGUUAAAUAUUUCAUAGAAAUAAUAAGAGAAAGCAUCCUUGUUUUAUUGCUAAUUAAUUUUAAAGAGAAUGUCCCACAUUUCGCCAUGAACUAUCAUGCUAGUUGUAGUUUUCCAAGUUUGGGAACUCCUUUUUUUGUUCCUAGUUUGCUCAGAGUUCUUAUGUCUCAGUGUGAUUGGAUUUUAUCACUACUUUUCGCCAUCUCUUUAUGUGAGCCUUGUCUUUUCUUCCUUAACCUACACAUGUGGUGGAUUAAGUUAUUAAAUGUUUAAUGUUCACUCGAUUGCAUGCUGACAAUAAACCCCCUUGAUCGUGGCGUAUUACAUGGUUUACACUUGUCUGGAGUUCUUUGCCAGCAUUUUAUGUAGGGUUUUGCAUCUCAAUUACUUAUACCUUUCUUUUCUAAUUCGGUAUCAAUAUUAAAGUAGUCUUAGGGAUCAAGUUGGAGAGCAUCUCAUAUUUUUCUCUUCUUUGGUGACUAUGUACAAGAUUAAGAUGAUCUGUUUUUUGCAUGUUUGCUGGAACUUGCCUGAAAGUGGUCUCCCAAACCUGAAACCAUUUGGCCAUCGAGUUGAUUCCUUCUUCUUAGGGAGAUCUUGAACUACUGACCCAUUUUGUAUAGUGAUUAAAGGCCAUUUCUGGUGCCAAUUUACUUAGAAAAAUUUUCACUGCAUGUUGUAGACUGCUAGGAUGUCAUCAUUAAAUAUUACGCGGUUAUCACUGUUUUCAGCCUCAUCCAGGCCAAUUAAUCAAUCCCAGAUUUUCCAUUUUCCGGAAGUCACGCUGCGUAUCUACUCCUGGUACCAGUUCCCUUAUCUAAGACUUAUUUGCAAAGAAACAUACAACCAAGCCUCCUUUGAGUCUAUGAUGUGAGAAUACAGUCAGUCCCACAUAAUGUGACACCUUUGUAAUUGUUCUUUUUAAGUGUUUCACAUUUACUUUUUUUUUUUCAUUUCCCACCUAUCUAGCAGUUUUAAAGUUGUGCAUUUCAGGUUGAGGUCAUUAGCUGGAUUGACUCUGCGGGGCGGUGCGGUGCCCAGUUGCAUCUGGGCAUCAAGAAAAGGCGCCUCUAGAACUAGGAGGCCUGAGGCGGAGGGUGGG